AUGGAACAAUGUAGGCAAGGGAAGUCGGCAAAACGGAUCCGUAACUUCGGGAAAAGGAUUGGCUCUGAGGACUGGGCUCGGGGGUCCCGGCCCCGAACCCGUCGGCUGUCGGCGGAUUGCUCGAGCUGCUCACGCGGCGAGAGUGGGUCGCCGCGUGCUGGCUGGGGGACGGACCGGGAACCGCCCCUUCAGGGGCUUUCCCCGAGCAUGAAACAGUCGACUCAGAACUGGUACGGACAAGGGGAAUCCGACUGUUUAAUUAAAACAAAGCAUUGCCAUGGUCCUCGCGGAUUCUUACGCAAUGUGAUUUCUGCCCAGUGCUCUGAAUGUCAAAGUGAAGAAAUUCAACCAAGCGCAGGUAAACGGCGGGAGUAA
rnacentral:rRNA from 1 species